rnacentral:lncRNA from 1 species
UCGAGAUUAAACUUAAUAAAUAUAUUUACAUGCUAAAAAGUGAAUGAAAAUCCAAAUAACAUGAUUGUAACUUGACUGCUAAGUGAAACUCAGCAACUGUGCAGGAUCAAACUCAAAAAGUAAUUAAAAUUUAGAACCAAGCAAAAAAUUGUGCUACAGACAACUCUACAGAUUCACAUUUAUAGCAUGCUGGACCAACUAACACAAAACUAAACAAGCAGCAACAAACAAAGUAACUUUAAGCAAUAUUUUUCAGCUUGUAAUUCCCUGUUAACUGAAUCACCAAAACAUUUGUAAUCAACUUGCACUUACUACAGAACUGGUGCAAAAAGUGAAAAUUUCAAGAUUGUUUCAACAACCUUCAAUAACAGUCCAAAAUACUCUAAUUUGAGUUCAAAAUUCUUCAAACAAAUACUAAUAUCCAACCUAGUUUAAGAUUUACAAAAUAUUGUAGAAAAAUACAACUAAUGCUUAGGGAACUUGUACUAUAUCAACAAAAUUGAUUUAAAGGCAAAAUUCAAAGAUUCAAACAAGCUAGCAGGUUUGCUAUUCAAUUACUCCUCAAAACUCAAAACUUCAGCAACACCUUGAGCACUAAAUUCAGCAGUAGUAUGCAUAGAAAUUUUCAACCCAGAAUGACGACCUCAACUGUAGAAACAAAGCAUUAGUAUCACAGCAAUAUUGAGUCAAAAUACCCACAAAGUAUAGCUGAAUAGUCGGGAUCUACUUUUAAAAAAAAACAACUCAAAAGUUGAAUUUCAAUAGUGUAUUGUCCACAUAUAAACUGAAGCAACGUAGUUAAGUUAACUGAAGCUAAAACUUCUGCAAAUUUCCCUCAAUUGUUAAGAAAAACAAUAGUAACAACAAUCAAUUAAAGAAAUGUGGAAAUCUCUAUUGUUGAGCGAAAAAUGAACAAUGUAGGGCUGUGGAAAGCAAGUAUGAAAUCCUUUUCAGCAACAGAAAACAAGCAGCAAAUUAUUUUCCAGCAAACAAGCAACUUCUGUCAGCAAAUUCUAACCAACUGGACAAUAGUUUAUGUAACAAGAGCACUCAAUUCAACAAGGAGAAAAUUUUAGAAGUAAAAACCAAAUUUCACGCAAUCACUUCUAAACUCGAGCACAAUACCAACAAACAUAAAUUUUCUGUAGAGUAAGCUUACUGUAUGCUCAACCAAAUCAUCUUUCAAGGUGCUCAAUCUCUAGUCCAACUGAAUCCCCUCUAUUAAACUCAACAAUAACAACAACUAUUAGAAACUAGUGGUAACAAGUUCAAACUAGGAGAAUUUAAACUAACAAUUUACUCCAAAAACUUUACAAAUAGUGGAAAACUUCAACAAGACAAGUUCAGAACUCCACAGUCUUAGCACGAAGAUAAUUGGUGUUCAAUGCAAGAUUUUCUUUCAAACAUUAGCCCACAAACGAUUCAUAGAUUGAAUUAAAUUCACAAAACAGUGCUCCAACAACAAAGAUUGAUCUCAACAGAACUUUCAUCUGCAUAAAAGGAGUAUGAAACGAAAAUUCCAACUUGAACUCUAAGACUUUCAAUAAUAGAGUCCAUUGACACAACUGAACUCACACUAUUUCCAACAAAAAAGUUUUGAAUUCUAAAACAAACGUAUGUGGCAAAAAGUGGCCAGAAGUGCAAAUUAGGCUAUGACCCCGCAAAGCCAAGAACCUAGGAUUUUCAAAGAAAAUCGGACCCUAUUUAGGUUGCCUACGUACCACUCCCUGUAAGCCGAGAAUCAGGUUUGCGUAGUUUGGGCAAAUUGGAUAUGGGCAAGAAAUAAAAAAAGCAAAUUUUAGAGAAAAUAUUCUUUUUUUGUUUUUUCUUGUAAAAUGUUGAAACAUGUAAAAUCUUUUGGAUUUUCUUCGCCCCCUUUUUAUUUUGUUUUUUGAAAAAUGAUAAAAAGUGCAAAAAAAAACAACUUUCUAAUUUUUCAUGUAUAUCUUUUCCUUUUUUCAAAUAAAAUAUAUGUAACAAAAACAUAACUAGAUCCUGCUUGCUUUAUUCUCGCACUUCAUCCUCUCUUUUCUAUUUUUUUCAUUGUUUUUCUCUUCUAUUUUUUUCAUGUUUUCAUUUACCCUCAACUGCUAUUGGUUCGCCAAAUGACCCUUUGUCCUUGAAUGAAUGCAACAUGUAGCACAUAGAAUGCAUCAAGACGGCCUUUUAUUUCGGGAUACACCUGUCCUAGACGGACCCAACUCAUGUGUUGAGUCCCCUAAGUCAAAUGCAAAUGAUUCACAUAAGAGUUCCUACUAGGGAUCCGACAUGAGGCUGUGUUUUUAUAAGUUAAAAUCCAGGGGUUUUGAUCUAGACAUGGGUACCCGAGCGUCAAAUGGGGUCAAGGAGGGGGCGACGUACCGAGAGCACUAAAGUCUGCCCGGCCUUGUCGCUUGCCCAGCCUUGCUCUAUGUGAUAUAAUUUUUACAGAAAAGCGGGCUACGCGAACGUAUGCACCAUUUUCAGAAGACUCAGAAGGAGUGGCGUAAGAAAGCAAUUAUAUACAAUUCAACAAUAUUAAAACGAUAAACAGAUAGCAUUUUAUCACAAAGAUUCACAAGAGUACAAUAAUAUCAACAAUAAAUAAGCCAAGUGAAAAUCAUAAAACAAGCUCGAAUUCUUGAACCCUGAACCAGAGAUUCCGGGCAUACCUCUACAGCAGAGUCUCCAGAGUUGUCACACCUCCUUCUUUCAUUACUACACCCGGAAAGGAUAUAAUAAAGGGAGUUUUCCAAUUUAAGUGACAAUCGAAAUGGGAUUAAUAAUUAAAAAUCAGAGUCCCCACUUGGAAUAAUUUUAUGGUGUCCCAAGUCAUCGGUUUAAAAUCUGGAAUUGAGGAAAGAAUGAUUCUGUUAUUAUAGUCUGCGAACCAGAAAUCCGGGUAAGGAAUUCUAUUAACCUGGGAGAAGGUGUUAGGCACUCCCGAAUUCCGUGGUUCUAGCACGGUCUCUUUGAUCUUACUUGGCUUGUUAAAUUGUUUAAUUACUGAUUUUUAAACAUAUGUGCUUUUGAUUCUUUUUACCUCUUUUAAUUAGCAAAUUAUCUUGAAACAGUUUACGCGUACGUAUAUCGGCUUGUUUGGUGCAUCAAAAAACAUAUCACGUGAACGUGUCCACAAUUAAUGACGCUUUAUAUUGUUAAGAAAAGUUUGGGCCGAAGUUGCGCGAACCCAUACUCUAGUUUAUUAUUUAUAAGUGUACUUGUGCUAUGCGGACGUAUACGCAAUCACACUAGUAAUUUAAACGGCCCUAAAAUAUAUUCUACGAAAUAUUUUAUUUUACCUAACCUACGAAAUUACUAGAAGACCAUAUAAUUCUAGUGACCUUAUGAAACAAAAUUAUUAAAGGAUGAUAACCUAUUUUAUUAUAAGUAGAAGGUUGGGCAGAGUUGUGCGAACACAUAUUCCGAAUUAGUUUUAGAAUCGUAAUCAUGUCACGCAAACGUGUACACAAUAACAAUUGUAAUUUAGAAUUUGAGAGUGAGGCAACCAGAGAAACUAAAUAAGAGUAGUCAAUUUCGUUAUAUCAUAUAGCUUAGCAACAGAUGUAGGAAUCAUUCUGAAUUUUUGGAGCUUUUCCCAAAUUAUGUUAAAUUAAUAGUAAAUAAUAAAAGAUUCAUGUCUCAGCUAUUCAUGGAACUAUACUUCCUGUAAAAUUAAACUACUAAAGAUGACUAAAUUAUUUUAAGCAAAUUAACUAAGAAAAAAAAAACAUGUGGCUGGAACUUUAAACUAACAGACAUGAAUUUUUUACAAAGAAAACUACAUAGUGGUCCAUCAAACAAACACUGAACCAACUUUCCAGAAUUUUAAAUUGGAUUCAAUCACAAUGGAACCUUGUUCAACUAAUGUAAACCAAUUCGACUCCACACGGUCUCACCAAGCUAACAGACUUCAAAACUAACAGAUAAGACUAGGAGAUGUAUUUAACAUCGACUCCACACGGUCUCACCAAGCUAAUAGACUUCAAAACUAACAGAUAAGACUAGGAGAUGUAUUUAACAGAUGAACAACAGCAUAUCUAGAGUUCAUGACCACUACACAUACAUAAUUAAACCAAACAUUUUGCUAAAAGUCAUCGUAUUAAUGUGCAGCAAAGUGCUGCAAGUAUUUGCAGGAGAUAAACAUAUUACCGAAUAUAACAAGCUUAAAAGAUCAAUCAUGGCUUCUAUGGAUAAACAAACACGCAAUUGCUCGACCACCAUCAUAAGUAAAGCUUUACACAUGACCCUCUGGUUUAAACUACGUCACAAGAGUCACAACACACAAUUUUCACCCUUCAAUUUGAACUAAUUAAGCUUGAGCCUCUGGUUUAAACUACGUCACAAGGGUCACAACACACAAUUUUCACCAUUCAAUUUGAACUAAUUAAGCUUGAGAUAAAGUGAAAUCCCACGGAAGGAAGCGCAACAAAAGUUAGAGCAGAAUCAUUGCUAUUAUAUCAAGAGAUACUGUGAUUUAAACAAAACACAUCAAUACACAAUACAUAGAGUAAUCAACAUUAUCACGUUUAAUUUAACUUCAAUCACGAUCCAACACAAAAUCAUAUAUAAUAUACAUAUUUAGAGCUUAAGAGGAUUUAGACAGAAUUCUUGCAAAAAUAAAUUAAUUAGUCAAUCAAAGAAUUUAGACAAAAUAGCCAUCAUUUCUUGCAAAUCAAAGGACAAUAUAGAUUUAUGAUAUGCACCUUGAGAUCAAAUAGCACUUGGAUCCAAAUAAUAUGGAACAGAUACCUCGAUGCAUAAUCUCGAACAGAAACCUCGACGAGACUGUCAACGACAUCCUCGCUCACCUCAUCUAGGGACCCGACUGAAAAUCAGAAGCAAACAAGAAAUCGACAUGAAAAUCGAAGAGAUUCGAACUCGAAAUGAGAAUGAAACAAGUCCGUUCGAUCCCUCUAUUCUCACUAUUUUUCAGCUCUCCUAUUUUCCUGUUCCUGUUGCCCCUUUUUCUGUUUCAAUUUCAAUUCCCUUCUCCUGCUAUUUUUGUUUCGUUUUAGUUCAGAAGAGAGGUUAAAGCUCGUCAUGGGUGUCUGUUUGUUGCUGUGUGAUUGAUUUUCCGGCGAGGGGUCGUGUGGUUGAAAAGGUAGGAUGAUGGGAGGGGUAUCCGUAGUGUAUCCGUAUAUGUGUGUUUGUAUCUGCGUGGAUUUGUUAAGAAGAAAUCACAGCCGCGCAGCCCUCUCUUCCAGGCGUCUCCAGGCGUGUAUGUGUUCGUAUUCUUCAUAAUAAAAGCAGGCU